rnacentral:lncRNA from 1 species
AUUCCCACUGCUGCAUAUCUGCUAUAGAGGCCUUUGAGUAGGAAAGAGCAGCAGUUAAACGCACAGGGAGCUGUUUGUCCCUUKCAUCCAAGAAGUGGAGUAUUUAUUUACCAAAUAAUACAUAAAUGCUUGUUGAAAAAUGUUGUCAUGAUGUUUUUCAAAGGAAACAAGAAAAUCUCAAUGCUCAAUCUCAGCUAGAUCCCUGCUAAAGUAGGACACCCUCCCUUAAGCCUUGAAAAACAGGACAUUUGAUAGUUACUUUUCUUUCUUCUCCCUAUUCCCCACCCCAAAGACAACACAGGUCACUGGUUCGGUGGCAAAAAAGAAAGAAAAAAGAAAAAGAAAAAGGGGCGAAUCAAGGCUUGAUGUUUGGAGGAUAAAUACCAAGACAGCAAGGUGAAAUUUCAGAGGUCUCUUACGGAGAUUCCGCUCCAUGCCAUGUUUGAAACUUAAUACAGCAUGAUGAUGUGCACGAGCAGUGGUUAUUCUUCUCAUAGAAUCUUAUGUCCUUCUCACAAGAAAAAAAUGAAAUAUGAAUUCUCCGUGUGUCUGCCACCUCAUCUUUGGAAAGAGACCCUUCAAAGGCCCUUUUUCUGAGCACCUAGGAGCAUGUUAAGAUUCUGGCUGCUGCAACUGAAUGAAAACUACAG